rnacentral:lncRNA from 1 species
GGAGAACCUCCUACGACGUGAUAGCCACCUGGAAAAAACGCCCAGAACCAAGGAACCGAUGCGGGUCUGUUUUCUGUUGGUGAUGAGAUUCAAAGAGAGAAUAGGGGGUCGGCCCCGUGGCCUAGUGGUUAGGUUCACCUGCUCCGCUUCAGCAGCCUGGGUUUUGCUGGUUCAGAUCCUGGGUGUGGACCUGUACACAGUUCAUCAAGCCAUGCUAUGGCAGCGUCCCACAGCAAAGAACCAGAAGGACUCCCAAAUACCGUACCCAUAUGGAUUGGUGGACUCCCUUCAGUUUCCCUAAGGCCACACAGUGGUCUCCAGUCUGCUGGGUGGGCUGAAACAGUGGCCCUUGGUAGAUCUGAAACUUAGCGGGAUUGUCUCCAAGUCAGAGACUGCAGUACAGCAAAUCACGUGUCCAAAGUCACCCAAGAUCUCGAUGACCGAGCGGAAAAUACCGUGUACUUUCAUAACUACUUCUAGCCUGACGGAGGGAAAAAUUCAAGUCAUCUAAAAAUAGAAAACCAUGGUAGUUUUAAAAAUUAGAAAUCUUUAGUGCUGCCUGCCUUUGUUCUCUUUUUCAGUACACCACUGGGCCAGCCCCUAAAAGUCACAUUUUAAGAACCAGUUGUGGGGGCCAGCCAGGUAGUGUAGUGGUUAAGUUCGUGCACUCCACUUUGGCCACCUGGGGUUUGCAGGUUUGGAUCCAGGGCACAGACUUACACACCAUUCAUUAAGCCAUGCUGUGGUGGCAUCCCACAUAUAAAGAUAGAGGAAGAUUAGCACAGAUGUUAGCUCAGAGCUGAUCUUCCUUAAGCAAAAAGAGGAAGAUUGGCAACAGAUGUUAGCUCAGGGCCAAUCUUCCUCACCAAAAAAAAAGCUCUUAAAAAAUAUAAAAACCAGUUAUGGCUCCUGGUGGAAAGAGCUUGCCAAAGCAGGAAGUUGGGGUUGCCUCACAGGAAGGAGACCAAGGUGCCCAACGUCUCAAGGAUUUUAACCAAAU